GACGAACCGUGCGAACGUUAUUCGGAAUCACUGGCUUAAAGCGCGUGUAGGCGGAUGGGAACGUCGGUAGUUGAAAGCCCCGGCUCAACCGGGGAAGUGGUGCCGAAACGACCCGUCUGGAGGGACGUAGGGGACCUGGAACUUCCGGUGGAGCGGUGAAAUGCGUUGAGAUCGGAAGGAACGCCCGUGGCGAAAGCGAGGUCCUGGACGUCUACUGACGCUGAGACGCGAAAGCUAGGGGAGCAAACGGG
rnacentral:rRNA from 1 species